rnacentral:rRNA from 1 species
GACAGAGGGUGCAAACGUUGUUCGGAAUUACUGGGCGUAAAGCGCGUGUAGGCGGCUUGGCAAGUCGGGUGUGAAAGCCCUGGCUCAACCUAGGAAGUGCACUCGAAACUGCCUCGCUUGAAUGCCGGAGAGGAAAGCGGAAUUCUCGGUGUAGAGGUGAAAUUCGUAGAUAUCGAGAGGAACACCGGUGGCGAAGGCGGCUUUCUGGACGGUGAUUGACGCUGGAGACGCGAAAGCGUGGGGAGCAAACAGG